rnacentral:rRNA from 1 species
AGAGUUAGAUCUUGGCUCAGGAUGAACGCUGGCGGCGUGCCUAAUACAUGCAAGUCGAACGUGAGGCUCUGUACUUAGUAUGGGGCUGAAAGUGGCGAACGGGUGAGUAACACGUAGGUGACCUGCCCCAAAGUGGGGGAUAACCGUGGGAAACCGCGGCUAAUACCGCAUAAGCUUGCACCCGUUUAGAAGGGUGCAAGUAAAGCCUCCGGCGCUUUGGGAGGGGCCUGCGGCCUAUCAGCUUGUCGGUGAGGUAAUGGCUCACCAAGGCUAAGACGGGUAGGGGGCGUGAGAGCGUGACCCCCCACAAUGGAACUGAGACACGGUCCAUACUCCUACGGGAGGCAGCAGUAAGGGAUAUUGCACAAUGGGCGCAAGCCUGAUGCAGCAACGCCGCGUGAGCGAUGAAGGCCUUCGGGUCGUAAAGCUCUUUUCUGGGGGACGAGCAAGGACGGUACCUCAGGAAUAAGUCCCGGCUAACUACGUGCCAGCAGCCGCGGUAAAACGUAGGGGGCGAGCGUUAUCCGGAUUUACUGGGCGUAAAGCGCCCGCAGGCGGCCUGGUAGGUUGGACGUGAAAGCUCCCGGCUCAACUGGGAGAGGUCGUUCAAUACCGCCAGGCUAGAGGUCAGAAGAGGGGAGUGGAAUUCCCGGUGUAGUGGUGGAAUGCGUAGAUAUCGGGAGGAACACCAGUGGCGAAGGCGGCUCCCUGGUCUGCACCUGACGCUCAUGGGCGAAAGCGUGGGGAGCAAACGGGAUUAGAUACCCCGGUAGUCCACGCCGUAAACGAUGGAUGCUAGGUGUAGGUGGUGUCAACUCCAUCUGUGCCGUAGCUAACGCGUUAAGCAUCCCGCCUGGGGACUACGGCCGCAAGGUUAAAACUCAAAGGAAUUGACGGGGGCCCGCACAAGCAGCGGAGCGUGUGGUUUAAUUCGAUGCUACGCGAAGAACCUUACCUGGGCUUGACAUGCACGUAGUAGGGAUCCGAAAGGUGACCGACCCUUCGGGGAGCGUGCACAGGUGCUGCAUGGCUGUCGUCAGCUCGUGUCGUGAGAUGUUGGGUUAAGUCCCGCAACGAGCGCAACCCUCGUCGUUAGUUACAUGUGUCUAACGAGACUGCCGGUAUCAAACCGGAGGAAGGUGGGGAUGACGUCAAGUCAGCAUGGCCUUUAUGUCCAGGGCUACACACACGCUACAAUGGCCGGUACAAUGGGCAGCCACACCGCGAGGUGGAGCUAAUCCUCAAAGCCGGUCUCAGUUCGGAUUGCAGUCUGCAACUCGACUGCAUGAAGGCGGAGUUGCUAGUAACCGCGCGUCAGCCAUAGUGCGGUGAAUACGUUCCCGGGCCUUGUACACACCGCCCGUCACGUCAUGGGAGCCGGUAACACCUGAAGUCGGUGAGCUAACCGUAAGGAAGCAGCCGCCUAGGGUGGGACUGGUGACUGGGACGAAGUCGUAACAAGGUAGCCGU